rnacentral:sRNA from 1 species
AGUUAAGUGCAACUAAUGUAUUCAUACAUUUUUAUAUGAAAAUAUGUUUAAAUGCAUUAUAAAUUGCAAAAAAAGAGUUGGCAAAAAACCUUUAUGUGGGGCUGCGGUUUUCGUUUUUGUGCCUCGUUGUGUGUGUGUGUAUCCAUUAGCCGAUGUUUUUUUUUUGUGCAAAAAGGCAGACAGAGAGGGAGAGAGAGUAGAGGUGAAAAUGUCUUGUUGACAUGUCAGAUUCGAUUAAGUGUCUAGUUGUUGUCCAAGAUAAAGGAAGCUUCGCUUAGUCAGGAUUUUCACCAAAAAAACAAAACAUAAAAUAAAAGGUGAUUAUGUCAUCCCUUUGCAUUUAAUAGCAAAAAAUGAGUUUUUAAUUUUGUAACAACUAAGUAAAAAAUAUGAACAAUUAUAUAUUGUUUUUUACAACCAGAAUAAAAUAAUCAAUCAACAAGCUUGCAGCUCGUUAUUUUACUGGUUUGCUGUGACGUCACAAAAUGUCACAAAUCAUAUGCAACCCAACGACUUCAUACAUUGAG